rnacentral:rRNA from 1 species
GGUGAGUAACGCGUAGGAAUCUGCCUCAUAGUGGGGGACAACGUGGGGAAACUCACGCUAAUACCGCAUACGCCCUACGGGGGAAAGCGGGGGAUCUUCGGACCUCGCGCUAUGAGAUGAGCCUGCGUUAGAUUAGCUAGUUGGUGGGGUAAAGGCCUACCAAGGCGACGAUCUAUAGCUGGUCUGAGAGGACGAUCAGCCACACUGGGACUGAGACACGGCCCAGACUCCUACGGGAGGCAGCAGUGGGGAAUAUUGGACAAUGGGCGAAAGCCUGAUCCAGCAAUACCGCGUGUGUGAAGAAGGCCUUAGGGUUGUAAAGCACUUUCAAUUGGGAGGAAAACCUGCCGGUCAAUACCCGGUAGCUUGACAUUACCUUUAGAAGAAGCACCGGCUAACUCCGUGCCAGCAGCCGCGGUAAUACGGAGGGAGCGAGCGUUAAUCGGAAUUACUGGGCGUAAAGCGUGCGUAGGCGGUUCGUUAAAUCAGAUGUGAAAGCCCUGGGCUCAACCUGCGAACGGCUUUUGAAACUGGCGGACUAGAGUGUAGUAGAGGGGAGUGCAAUUUCAGGUGUAGCGGUGAAAUGCGUAUAUAUCUGAUGGAACACCAGUGCCGAAGGCGACUCCCUGGACUAGGACUGACGCUGAGGUACGAAAGCGUGGGUAGCAAACAGGAUUAGAUACCCUGCUAUUCCACGCCGUAAACCAUGUCAACUAGCCGUUGACCCUAUUUACAGGAUUAGUGGCGCAGCUCACAGCAUUAAGUUGACUGCUGGAGAGUACGGCCCGCGAAGUUA